GCAGGCGCGUAAAUUACCCACUCCCAGUUCGGGGAGGUAGUGACGAAAAAUAACAAUACAGGACUCAUAUCCGAGGCCCUGUAAUUGGAAUGAGUACACUUUAAAUCAUUUAACAAGGACCUAUUGGAGGACAAGUCUGGUGCCAGCACCCGCGGUAAUUCCAGCUCCAAUAGCGUAUAUUAAAGUUGUUGCGGUUAAAACGUUCGUAGUUGAAUUUGUGCUUCAUGCAGGUAGUACAACUAUAAUUGUAGUUUGUACAUUACCUUAUGCAUGCAAGCGUAUUAUCGGUGGAGUUCUAAUAUAUAAUAGUAUAUUUUAUUAUUAUAUAUACCUCCUAUUUGAAACCUAUUAUAAUGCUCUUUAUCGAG
rnacentral:rRNA from 1 species